GUUUCUAAACAUUAUGUUGGUGCAAAAGUAAUUGCGGUUUUUGCCAUUACUUUGGCACCGACGUAAUUAUUUUUUUACAUUAGUGAUUCUUU
rnacentral:miRNA from 1 species